rnacentral:tRNA from 1 species
UCCCUGGUGGUCCAGUGGCUAAGACUUUAUGUUCCCAAUGUCAGGGGCUGGGUUCAACCCCUAGUCAGGGAA